AUAUCUGAAUCACAGGAGUUUCAUAAAGGGAAAAGAUUGAAAACAGAGAGAAUAAAUUGUAUCCAAAAAAGAAUGAAGUUAAUUCUGAAGAACUGAAGGGCUUGUGCUUAUACAAGGGAAGGGACCGUCAUAAAGGAUACACAAAUGCAGGCAGCACAAGAAAGGAAAACAGGCACAGAGAGUGCUGUCUCAUCAUUAUAACAUUUCACAACCAGCGGGCAAAGAAAAGAUCCUCAAAGCUUCCAGGAAUAAACAUACAUACCCUACACAAAGAAUUGAGCAACAUUGUUGCAAGAGGUCAUCUGAAUGACGUGACUGCAAAUUGACCUGGGAGCUGAACACUGGUAAUGGAAGUCUCCUCGCCACCCCCCACCCCAUUCAUCAGGCGUGCUUGGGGAGUGAGUUCGGCUUGCCUUCCCCAUUCCCAGAGGCUGCUCCAAGGACACAGCCUGCAGAUAGUGCUGUGGUCCUGAGACUCUGCGCGGUACUCGUGACUGAACCCAGUGAAGGCCUCUAUAUAGCCUUCUAAGAUUUGGUAGGCGGGUGCAGAGAUCUACCCCUCUCUAGCUAAAACCCCCAAGACAAGCCUCCCAAGACACGACUUCUGGAAAAAUCCAGGAAACAGGAACGCAGGAUACCAGAACAGCAGGGAAUCCGAUAAGGGGAGAGGAGACCCGCGGCAGAAGGCUGGUGGAGAGAGAUCCCAGGACCACGGCGCUAUACAAGCUCUGAAAACAGGGAGAAGAGCACCCCAACAACAGGAUCAACUGUGUUACCUGUAGACAACUGCAAGGGUCAAAAAGUGAUGGCCAUUCCAGUAGCAGUAUGUAUUUAGAAAGCAACUCCAUUUUAUUUUUCAUGCCAGAGACAGAAAACAAUGCAACCGUCUCACUUCAAUAAGGAACUAAAAAUCAAAUGGAAAACCAGACAAAUACAGAAUGGGUUUGGAACAAAGUUGCAGAGUUUCUGGGCCUCACUGUGCACAAGGUUUCAAAGAUCCACAUCAUGCUGUUCAGAAGCAGAAGUAAACAUUGCUGUGCAACAAUCAAUAUUUUUGUAGUUCUGCAAUGGCAGAGCACUCAGAAGCCGAAUGGGAAGUGACACAGACUCAGCCUGAUCAGCAAUCCUAAAUCAGAGACCUGGGCGUGACCCCAGUGGAGAGCCCUGCUGCCCUAAGAGACACAAGCCUUCCAGAAGAAGGAUAGAGCUUUUGGCAGCUUCUCACCCUGACUCUGAUAAGGAUAGCUAAUUGCACUUGCUUUACCACUUGAAAUUGUGUCUUCUUGGUGCACUGUGGAUUUUCAGAGGGUCUCUGAACGCUGCUUCAAAUGACAUCUCUUCCUCAAAUGGUAAAGAUUCAUCAUGACAGAUGAUGGACCCAGAGGAGAAAGGCAUCACAGACAAGUGGAAAUACAAGCAGUUCUUGCUGGAAGCUGACAGCAACCUCACACUGAGGCUGAGAUAUUGUUUUAUUGAAUAUGGGAGAAAGUAUCUGCUUAACAGCCUUGAAAAGCGAGUAUCUCAGAGAUGGGGUGCUUUGGUUUAUUAGACUUUCAUUUAUCUGAAAGCCCUUGAUACUUCAACUCAUCACUGGAAUUCUAUGAACUUGGAGGAGUCAAGUUCCCAUAUUAGUAUGUAUUUUAGAAGUACACUCAACAUGACUGAACUAGUGGCUGGGGAUUUGGCACAGAAGCUUGAAUUGUCAGUAGAUAUGGAUGAGGAACUUAGGAGGGAUUGGAGCUGAGUGAUACUGACCCUAGGACGUAUACCAAAAGGGCAUUUGUCCAUUAAUCAAAUAAUUAUUCAAUUUCUAUUCUCUACCAGGCAUGGAGAUCAAAUCUGCCUGAGUGGAAGGGGAAGAAUUGACAAAAUAUUUCACAAAUAAAUAUUUAAUCAGAGCCAGCUGUGUUUAAUGCUAUAAAAGCAGUGAGCAACUGACAAAGUAAACCAAGGGGCCCUUCCUUUGCUGGCAGUCAGUGAAAGCUUACUUGAGGAGCUGAUGUUUAACCCAAAACCAAGCAGAACAAAGAGCACUUACAAUUAUGUUUAAAGCAAAUUUCUGUCAUUUUAAACUGUUUUUAAUAUAAGCUGCAAAAAACUACAAUAUACAGAAUAACAGAAUAUCUUUUUCCAUACUCAAAUAUUGCAUCCGAAUAGCACACUUUAUUAGUAAAGUAUAUUUGCAAAUAUUAUAAUUGUUUUAAUUUGCAUUUUUUAUUGCUUCUGAGGCUGAGUAUCUAUUCAAAUAUUUAUUGGCUAUAUGGAUUUUCCCUUCUGGGUGUACCUAUUCCUAGCCUUCAUCCAUUACUUUGUACUUCAUUUCUUUCUUGUUGAUUAGGGAAUUUCUCCUGUUUUAGAGAUGAGCCCUUUGCCCAUACACUGAAAACCUCACUAAUUCUGGUGUUAUCAUUCUGUUUAUGGUCUUUUACCUUGUGCAGAGACUUUAAUAUUAACAUGGCCAAAAUGAACAGUCUUCUUAAAAUUGUGAGUGUUUUGGGCUUUGAUUAUCAUUAGUUACUUUAAGGUUGCAAAGGUAUUCUGUCCGCCUUUAAAUAAAAUUUGUUGUUUGGUGUGAA